UACGUAGGUGGCAAGCGUUGUCCGGAAUUAUUGGGCGUAAAGCGCGCGCAGGCGGAUCAGUCAGUCUGACUUAAAAGUUCGGGGCUUAACCCGGAGAUGGGAUUGAAACUUCUGAUCUAGAGUAUCGGAGAGGAAAGUGGAAUUCCUAGUGUAGCGGUGAAAUGCGUAGAUAUUAGGAAGAACACCAGUGGCGAAGGCGACUUUCUGGACGAAAACUGACGCUGAGGCGCGAAAGCGUGGGGAGCGAACAGG
rnacentral:rRNA from 1 species